UCUGGGGUGGUGGAACUGGUAGACACGCACGAUUGUUUCUCGUGUGCUUAAAAAGCGUGUAGGUUCGACUCCUACCCCCAGAGCCA
rnacentral:tRNA from 1 species